AUUGAACGCUGGCGGCAUGCCUUACACAUGCAAGUCGAACGGUAACAGGUCUUCGGAUGCUGACGAGUGGCGAACGGGUGUGUAAUACAUCGGAACGUGCCCGAUCGUGGGGGAUAACGAGGCGAAAGCUUUGCUAAUAUCGCAUACGAGCUACGGAGGAAAGCGGGGGAUCUUCGGACACCGCGCGCACGGAGCGGCCGAUGGCAGAUUAGGUAGUUGGGGGGGUAAAAGCUCACCAAGACGACGAUCUGUGGAUGGUCUGUGAGGAUGAUAAGCCACACUUGGACUGAGACACGGCCCAGACUUCUAAGGGAGGGCGGAGUGGGGAAUUUUGGAAAAUGGGCGGAAGCCUGAUCCAGGCAUGGCGCGUGCAGGAUGAAGGCCUUUGGGUUUUAAAAGGCCUUUGUACGGAACGAAAAGCCUCUUUCUAAUAACGAGGGGUUUUGACGGUACCGUACGAAUAAGGAACGGCUAAAUACGUG
rnacentral:rRNA from 1 species